rnacentral:rRNA from 1 species
CAGUCGCCGCGGUAAUACGAAGGGGGCUAGCGUUGCUCGGAAUGACUGGGCGUAAAGGGCGCGUAGGCGGCGAUCAAAGUCAGGCGUGAAAUUCCUGGGCUCAACCUGGGGGCUGCGCUUGAUACUUGGUUGCUUGAGUGGGGAAGAGGGUCGUGGAAUUCCACGUGUAGCAGUGAAAUGCGUAGAGAUGUGGAGGAAUACCGAUGGCGAAGGCAGCCCCCUGGGCCAAUACUGACGCUCAUGCACGACAGCGUGGGGAGCAAACAGGAUUAGAUACCCGUGUAGUCCCUGUCUCUUAUAC